UACGUAGGGGGCAAGCGUUGUCCGGAAUCAUUGGGCGUAAAGAGCGUGUAGGCGGUCCGGUAAGUCCGCUGUGAAAGUCAAGGGCUCAACCCUUGAAAGCCGGUUGAUACUGUCGGGCUAGAGUCCGGAAGAGGCGAGUGGAAUUCCCGGUGUAGCGGUGAAAUGCGCAGAUAUCGGGAGGAACACCAAUGGCGAAGGCAGCUCGCUGGGACGGUACUGACGCUGAGACGCGAAAGCGUGGGGAGCAAACAGG
rnacentral:rRNA from 1 species